rnacentral:rRNA from 1 species
CCGAUCGUAGUCCGGAUCGCAGUCUGCAACUCGACUGCGUGAAGUCGGAAUCGCUAGUAAUCGCGGAUCAGAAUGUCGCGGUGAAUACGUUCCCGGGUCUUGUACACACCGCCCGUCACACCAUGGGAGUGGGUUUCACCAGAAGUAGGUAGCCUAACCGUAAGGAGGGCGCUUACCACGGUGGGAUUCAUGACUGGGGUGAAGUCG